CGAUCAGUAGCCGGCCUGAGAGGGUGAACGGCCACAUUGGGACUGAGACACGGCCCAAACUCCUACGGGAGGCAGCAGUGGGGAAUAUUGCACAAUGGGGGAAACCCUGAUGCAGCGACGCCGCGUGAGUGAAGAAGUAUUUCGGUAUGUAAAGCUCUAUCAGCAGGGAAGAAAUACUGACCAUAGGGUCAGCAGACGGUACUUGACUAAGAAGCCCCGGCUAACUACGUGCCAGCAGCCGCGGUAAUACGUAGGGGGCAAGCGUUAUCCGGAUUUACUGGGUGUAAAGGGAGCGUAGACGGCAGCGCAAGUCUGAAGUGAAAUGCCAGGGCUUAACCCUGGAACUGCUUUGGAAACUGUGCAGCUAGAGUGCAGGAGAGGUAAGUGGAAUUUCUAGUGUAGCGGUGAAAUGCGUAGAUAUUAGGAGGAACACCAGUGGCGAAGGCGGCUUACUGGACUGUAACUGACGUUGAGGCUCGAAAGCGUGGGGAGCAAACAGGAUUAGAUACCCUGGUAGUCCACGCUGUAAACGAUGAUUACUAGGUGUUGGG
rnacentral:rRNA from 1 species